UACGAAGGGUGCAAGCGUUACUCGGAAUUACUGGGCGUAAAGCGUGCGUAGGUGGUUUGUUAAGUCUGAUGUGAAAGCCCUGGGCUCAACCCGGGAACGGCAUUGGAAACUGGCUUACUAGAGUGCGGUAGAGGGGUGUGGAAUUCCCGGUGUAGCAGUGAAAUGCGUAGAUAUCGGGAGGAACAUCUGUGGCGAAGGCGACACCCUGGACCAGCACUGACACUGAGGCACGAAAGCGUGGGGAGCAAACAGG
rnacentral:rRNA from 1 species